AUUGAACGCUGGCGGCAGGCCUAACACAUGCAAGUCGAACGAGUGGCGGACGGGUGAGUAAUGUCUGGGAAACUGCCUGCUGGAGGGGGAUAACUACUGGCAACGGUAGCUAAUACCGCAUACCAUCGGAUGUGCCCCGAUGGGAUUAGCUAGUAGGUGGGGUAACGGCUCACCUAGGCGACGAUCCCUAGCUGGUCUGAGAGGAUGACCAGACACACGGGAACUGAGAAACGGUACAGAAGCCGACGGGAGGCAGAAGUGGGGAAGAUUGCACAAGGGGCGCAAGACUGAUGCAGCAAUGGCGCGUGUAUGAAGAAGGCCUUCGGGGUGUAAAGUACGUUAAGCGAGGAGGAGUUACGCGCAGAAGAAGCACCGGCUAACUCAGUGCCAGCAGCCGCGGUAAGUC
rnacentral:rRNA from 1 species